UUUAGUUUAUUUUAAACAAUUUAAUUUAGUUGUUGAUUUUAUUCAAUUAUUAUUAAUCGGGUUUAAGUGAAUUAGAUGUGUUUUGAACCAAUCUAAAUUAAUUAAUUAAAGUCUAUUAGAAAAAAUUAUGUUAGCUUUGUGCGCAUGCGUGUUAUGUUCCGUUGCCUCGGCGCCAAAGCCCAAAGGAAGGUUUACAGAAUCCAGUCAGAUUGAAGCAAGACGCCACAGCCGGAUUUCUGUACAUCCAUUUGCACAGUACUGUACAACAAGUUUCCUUUGCUGAGUUCCUUGGUCAGGGGUUUAAACACAUUUUCUGUCCAGUACUGCAGUUGGAAUUUUCCAUCAACAUUUUUAUGGUGGCGCAGUGGGAAGUGCUCUCACCUCACAGCAAGAAGGUCGCUAGUUCGAUUCUUGACUGGAUCAGUUGGCAUUUCUGUGUGGAGUCUACAUGAUCUCCCCGCGUUCGCAUGGGUUUCCUCCGGGUGCUCCGGUUUCCCCCACAAGUCCAAAGACAUGCGCUAUAGGGGAAUUGGACAACCAAUGUCCAUGUCAAAAGAGCGUCUAUUCUUCAAGCUCUCUUUACUUACCUUGGUGAGGAUGAGGCAUGCCUGGUGAAAGAAUACAUGGGCAAUCAAAAAGAAGAAUUUUUGAAGGACCUGACAAACACCGCCAUGGCCAUAUGUGUCAUCAAAAAGGAAAGAGGAGAUUAUGAGGACAUUGGCAUCGUUGUGGAUGGAACAGUGAUUAUUGAACAGAUAAAAUCUGUUGCACAAGCCUGUGCACUGAUGUUGGGGGCAAUUUAUGUGCUUGAUUUGGCCUACCCAAAAUAACUCAAAUACUAUUACGAGUUUGCCCAAAAAGUACUUGUGCAAAUGAACUCUGACAAGCUCUCCUCAAAGGUUCUCAUACUGGAAAACAGUGUGAUACUGUAAUUUUAAGCAUUGAAGUGUUAAUAAAUGCUCAACAACCAAAUGUAUAUCAUAUACAAAUUGCAGUUUAGUGUAGGAAUUGUUUAAUAAGUGAAUUCAGUUUUCUUUGUGUGCAAAAUUAAUUAGCUGUAGGAACUUGUUUUAAAUGGUGUGCGUGUGUGUGUGUGUGUGUGUGUGUGUGAGAGAGAGAGAGAGAGAGAGAACAUGUGCAUUCUAUAAACUUUGUAUUUAUUCCAUUUCAUACAACUUGUAGUUGCUCAAUAUGUUAAUGAGUAAAUUUUUUAAGUUAAUUAGUUGAUUAUUUUGUGUAUUGGGGGUGUGUGUGUCAUAAGGAUUGCCGUUUGCUCCAAGACUUCAUACAGUUUUCUUUUAUGUGUUGGUUUAAAUUAAAUGUGCUGUACAAACUGUUUAUUGUGUUAUGGUGUGCUGCUAAAGCAUUUUUAGGCAGUGAUUUAUGUUUUGUUAAAAAAAAUGCAUCUUAAAAAGUCAUUAAAAUGAAUUCAAAACAAA